rnacentral:rRNA from 1 species
UAGUCGUGACUGAGAGGUCGAUCGACCACAUUGGGUCUGAAAAAACCCCAAUGCGUAUUAGUACAGCAGUGAGGAAUAUUGGUCAAUGGCCGAAAGGCUGAACCAGUAACUUGGAAGAAUGAAAAUGUAUUAUAAUAAUACAAUAACGAUUAAAUCGUAUAAAAUUCUAAAUAGAAUAAUGAUAAUGACAAUUUUCUAUUUAUAAGUCUUGACCAAAUUACGUGCCAGCAGUCGCGGUAAUACGUAGAAGACUAGUGUUAGUCAUCUUUAUUAGGUUUAAAGGGUACCUAGACGGUAAAUUAAACUCUAAAUGAGUACUUUUUUACUAGAGUUUUAUAAGAGAAGGAAGAAUUUCUGGAGUAGAGAUAGAAUACUAUACCAGAAGGACUGGUAACGGCGAAGGCAUCCUUCUAUGUAAAAACUGACGUUGAGGGACGAAGGCUUGGGUAGCAAUAAGGAUUAGAUACCCUAGUAGUCCAAGCAGAAAAUGAUGAAUGUCAUAGACUAGAUAAAAUAUUUAGUCUAUAAAUGAAAGUGUAAGCAUUCCACCUCAAGAGUAAUA